GAAGUCGUCCGUAUCAAGUGAUACGUGAAUUGCUCAGUAGUGAUUCGCCACUACCGUAGCUGGCGGAAAUAGCUUAAUUGGUAGAGCAUAGCCUUGCCAAGGCUGAGGUUGAGGGAUCAAGUCCCUCAUUCCGCUUCCGGCUUCGUCG
rnacentral:tRNA from 1 species